GACGAACGCUGGCGGCGUGCCUAAUACAUGCAAGUCGAACGAGCUCUGGUUUUUGAUUGACGGUGCUUGCACCUGAUUGAUUAAACAUUUGAGUGAGUGGCGAACUGGUGAGUAACACGUAGGAAACCUGCCCAGAAGCGGGGGAUAACACCUGGAAACAGAUGCUAAUACCGCAUAACAACUUGAACCGCAUGGUUCGAGUUUGAAAGAUGGCUCUGCUAUCACUUCUGGAUGGUCCUGCGGCGUAUUAGCUAGAUGGUGAGGUAACGGCUCACCAUGGCAAUGAUACGUAGCCGACCUGAGAGGGUAAUCGGCCACAUUGGGACUGAGACACGGCCCAAACUCCUACGGGAGGCAGCAGUAGGGAAUCUUCCACAAUGGACGAAAGUCUGAUGGAGCAACGCCGCGUGAGUGGAGAAGGGUUUCGGCUCGUAAAACUCUGUUGUUAGAGAAGAACAUAUCUGAGAGUAACUGUUCAGGUAUUGACGGUAUCUAACCAGAAAGCCACGGCUAACUACGUGCCAGCCGCCGCAGUAA
rnacentral:rRNA from 1 species